UCCUCAAGCAUAGAGCGAGUUCGAGACCAGC
rnacentral:piRNA from 1 species